rnacentral:lncRNA from 1 species
AGGAAUUCUCACCUGAAUGGUACGAGCUGGUCAAAACAUCUCCAUCGUUUCGUGAACACUGGUAUAGUCAGCAGCAGCAAGAAGGGAUAUAUGGUGAGGAUGAUGUUGUAAAUAUGCUUCCUGAUUCCUUUGAUCUUGGUGUCAAUGAUGAGCUAUCUCACCUUGAAGAAUUGGAUGAAGCCAUUUUCCAACAAGCUUUUGUGUCUUCUGAGGAUUCCAUUCCUUAUGUUUCUAAAGAUGGCAAGUUUAAAACUGGUUAGGGCAACCAUCUGUCCAUUUUCUUAAUGUUUUGAUUUUUGAAUCGACUUCACUAAACCAUAAAAAACAUUAACCAACAGGCA